rnacentral:lncRNA from 1 species
UAUGUCGGUUGCCUAAGUAUUCAAUACUAAUGUAUGUGUGUUUAGACACAAAUAUCUAAAUAAAAAUUUCACUUAUACAUAUUGAUUGAGAUCUUAACACAUGAAAUUUCUAUUUUUAAGUAUUUUUGGAAUACUUCAUAGUGUAUCUUUUUUGGUUAGACUUCAUAAUAGAUGUUCUAUGAUAGUUGUUGAUUGCAUCAUGAGAAAUGACUUUCUUUAGUUUGUUACUAUUACUAAAAAGAACAUCUAUAGUAAGAAAAUUAAUCAUUUUGAAGUAUAAUUAUUGCUCAAAAAGUCCUUGAGAAGAUAAUCUUGUCGAAAAUCCAAAAUGUAAUAAUUGUACUCAAUAUGCAAAACUAGGCCAAUUUUCCAAAAAAUAC